UGCUUUUUGUAAAUAUAAAAAGUACCACCUGCCCUAUGAUUAAUUAAAUGGCCGCAGUAUUUUGACUGUGCAAAGGUAGCAUAAUCAUUUGCUUUAUAAAUUAAAGCUUGUAUGAAUGGUAAAAUGCAAAUGUAACUGUCUCUAAUUUAAUAAUAAAAUUUAAUUUUUCAGUGAAGAAGCUGAAAUAAUUUUAUAAGACGAGAAGACCCUGACGAGUUUAAUAUAUUAAUACUAAUAAAAAUAAUAUAUUUUGUUGGGGCAACAAAAGAGAAAAACCUCUUAUUUUUUUAAUUUAUUAUAAUUAAUGUUCCAUUAAUAAUGAUUAAAAAUUUAAAUUACCGCAGGGAUAACAGCAUAAUCUUUUUUAAAAGUACCUAUCGACAAAAUGGGUUGUGACCUCGAUGUUGGAUUAAGAGAAUUAUUUAAUGCAGAAGUUAAAUAAAUAAGUCUGUUCGACUUUUAAUGUCUUACA
rnacentral:rRNA from 1 species